UCUUAUACAGUCUUACAGACACACCUUAUGUGUAUAUAUGAUAUAUUUUCUAUUUACAACAAUUCCAGUGAACAAUUACAUACUGUCAAACCAUAGCAGGAUUUAGACACAGUAUCCACGGACCAGCUUAACAUGAAUUUGGACAACCUGUACUUAAGGAACCCGUUUUCAUGCCGGUUUAGGCGUGUAAAAUUGGAAAUGCAGCAGACGACAAACAGCUGUUGAGCCUCAAUUUCGAAGUCCUGGACAUGAACAUCAAGGAAGUUAAAAGAAGAAGAAAAAUAUUAAUGUUUUGAACAAUUAUAAUAUUGUGUGUGUCUGUUCAUUGCAUGAGAGGUGGUCAACCUAGCUCCGAGUUAAUCUGACAAUAUUUACUAUUGCAUACCUCAACAUGCAUCUCUACAUAAAUUUUAUUGUGAUUAUUUAUGUAUUUCUCUAUGUCAUGGUGUUUUGACUUGUGAGAAUAAAUUGAAUUGAACAAG